rnacentral:tmRNA from 1 species
GGGGGCGAAAUGGUUUCGACAGGAAUGAAGAACCGUUUGGAGCACGUCGAGGUUCUGUCAGGCCUCGUAAAAAAGGCAGAAAACUGUAGUUGCAGAACGCGAUUACGCAUUGGCAGCUUAACUAAAGCUACCCGUUUCUUACGCUCCGCGCCUGCCGGACGUGAGAGGCGACAUUUUGCAGGAUUGACUGCUGUCCUCGUCUUUGGGGCAGGGGUUGAAACAUUAGAAGACUACAAGCGUGGGAUCCUGCUUUUUGGGAGCCUAGGCUUGGAAUACCAAAGCAAAAGCUAAACGUGUAGCGCCAAGCGCAGAAGCAUUUUUGGACGGGGGUUCGACUCCCCCCGCCUCCACCA